GUCAGGAUGGCCGAGUGGUCUAAGGCGCGAGACUCAAGCUUUCGACGGCGUGGGUUCGAAUCCCACUCCAGACA